AGGACUGAACCCUGGUCUCAUUAGAAUUGAGGCAGUUCCAAAUUAGUAAUUGUAUUAACAAUUAGUAAUGUGUAACCCAAAGUGUAGACCACUCCUUGCACAUUUCUCUUAGCAUGUUCAGAUGGUCGAUAAGCUCUUUGAAGGGUGAAAUUUCUGAAGCAAAUGCAGUGUGUGGAUAUUUUCUCAUGCGCAAGCAACGUGAAGGGGA
rnacentral:lncRNA from 1 species